rnacentral:snRNA from 1 species
CCAAAAUAAAUAAAAUCUC